rnacentral:rRNA from 1 species
GGGGAAUUUUCCGCAAUGGGCGAAAGCCUGACGGAGCAAUACCGCGUGAGGGAGGAAGGCUUUUGGGUUGUAAACCUCUUUUCUCAAGGAAGAAGCAAGUGACGGUACUUGAGGAAUCAGCAUCGGCUAACUCCGUGCCAGCAGCCGCGGUAAUACGGAGGAUGCAAGCGUUAUCCGGAAUUAUUGGGCGUAAAGCGUCCGCAGGUGGCGUAUCAAGUCUGCUGUCAAAGACUAGAGCUCAACUCUGGAAAGGCAGUGGAAACUGGUAGGCUAGAGUACGGUAGGGGUUGAGGGAAUUCCCAGUGUAGCGGUGAAAUGCGUAGAUAUUGGGAAGAACACCAGUGGCGAAGGCGCUCAACUGGGCCGCAACUGACACUCAGGGACGAAAGCUAGGGUAGCGAAAGGGAUUAGAUACCCCU